rnacentral:lncRNA from 1 species
CUCUCCUACACAGGUUUUUUUUCACCUUCUUUGCAACCACGUAAGUGAAAUCCCAACUCCUUGUGCACACAGGGAGGGACAUUGAGACUGAGUCGACCUCAAGGGGAAUGUCAUUGGCGGGGAGAAGAGGGUACACAGAGUCCCUGCCCCGACCAUGGAGUUGUGCUGGUUUUAGCGUCCUCACCCACAACGCCUCUUUCCUCGGUGAGAAAUUACUGCUGCUCAUAGGACAGAAUGUUCCCCAGGUGUGUGAGGACACAAACCCCCAGGAAGUACCAAUCUGUGUACAAGUCUCUUGCGAGCACACCCUCGGUGGUGGGACUCCGUCGUUUGACCACUCUGGUGGCGCCUCUCCUGUCCUUUGGAAUCAGUGCCCAGCUACCCCAUGGAAAACCCCUCUGCCCCGUUUGUCAUGGCAGUUGCAUUGGUAAGGAUCGGAUCACAAAACCUGCAUCUGGCCAGCAGGAGCACCAAGUGAUGUGCUUGGGCAGAAGACGUGUCCCUUAUCAGCCGGAUUAAAACCACCGUGAGGCUUCCGCCAGCCUUCCUGAGGGUGCCAGGCUGUGGGGGCCACCCCUGCUGUGACUCUUUUCUAAAGCCACUUACCCAGGAGCCUGAAAACGAAGCCAGUGGGCAGGAGCCUUUGGAGCACUGCAGCCCAGGGUGCCUGAGAGAUUCUGCUGCAGGUGCCGGGACUCUCCGAGGCUCUGGGUGGCCAUCUCCCUUUGUUAAGUGGUUUGAGUGUGGUCUCUGUCACCAGCCACUGAGAGCCUCCUGACUCAUGCAGAGAACACGUCUGAUGGCAGAAUCCCCACAGCACAAGAGGCCAGGAGAGGAGAUAUUUAGACCAAGAUGGCAUUCUGCACUGCUCUGCUAAAGCAAUGCAGCAGCGAGCGACUGGCCACAGGGGAACCCCCUAGGAGCCCCUUGUUUCAUUCUUUAGAUGUCUCCCAGGUGGAGGCAAGGUCUCACUUACCUCCUUCCUACAAAUGGCAGAGUUUGAGGGGCUCUGGGCGGAGUUGGGCUGAGCUUCUUCCCUGAAGCUGGGUUCCCUGGCUGUGGCUCCCCUUCCUGUCCAGUGGUCAGGUGUCCCCUCCCUCCCUCCUUGUGUACUGAGAGGCGAGUAGGCCUGGGAAGACACCAUGAGCAAAGUCACCUCUCUUCUGGGUCCCGUGGAGCUCAUGCGUGGUAGCAUCUCUAACAAGCCACUUAGCAGAGGCAAACAGAUGAAACUACAAGGACAGAUAUGAAAGGGACAACAAGGGUGACAUGAACUCGGGGCAGGGACUUGCUUCUAGAGGGGUGUUCCAGGAAGAGCUUGCAGAGGAGGUGACCCAGGGUGGAGAGAAAGCCUUGUCACCUGGGUAUCUGGGCAGUGGGAUGGGGGAGGGAGGCAGGCAGUGUUCCCAGCCAGGGCCAGCUUGUGCAAUGGCCCCUCCCUUGCUGGUUCUAUGGGGGGAACUGGGAGGAGACCAGGGUGGUGGGAACACAGUGAAGGAGCAGGACUGAGAUUCCCUGAGGUAGAGGAGGUGGGAGGGACAGAUUCUACUGGGCCUUGCACAUGAGGCUUGCAUUUAUGCUAAGUGCAGGGUAAAGCCUCAGGAAGCUGAUAAGAACUGAGUGUGUGGGGGAAGGGGGGAGGCAUGUCAUGUUCUGAAGGUCCCUCUCAGCCCUAAAACCCCAUGUUCUCUGUCUCCAUGGACGCGUUCUUUCUUUCAUUCGGUGCUGAGUGGAGCUAAGUGGUUCCCUGGAUUUGUGCAGAGGGGAUUGGCUUACCCGAAGAUGUGUACAGGAGAGAGGGCGGUCUGGAGGUGUUUCAAUAAUGAUGAAUCUGUAUGUGUGUGCAUAAGACUAUACAAAAGUAAUUAUUAUUACAUUUAUUGGAUGGUAAUUAUAUGCUAGGCUAAUGCUUCACAUGAAUUUUCUCAUUCAGUCCUCCCAAAAGUAUUCCGAAAAUUCACUUCCCCCUAAUUUUACAAAUGAGGAAACUGAGGUUUAACGAUACAAAGGGCACACAGGUGGUAAGUGGUGGAGCCAGGUUUGGGGUCUGGACCAUUUAAAGCCUGCUCAUCACAUUCUCGUGUCUCCUUAGCUGUGCCUCACCUCUCCAGGCAUUCAGAUAUGGAAACUAAUUGGACCCAUGAUUCAUUUUGCUUUCUUUCCAUCCUUGGAGAACUUUACAAAGAGGCCGAAGCACCCUCCGAAUGGUCCGCAGAUGAGACAGGAGAGACCUGGGAAGACUGGCCCUGGUGCCAGAAACCACAGUAUAUAGAAUGAAAGGAAGAAGAAGAAGGAAAAAAAAAAACCCUCUGAAUUUCCAGCUGCAGAAUCGCAUCAGGGCACGUGAUGUCAGGCCACGCUAGUCAUGUUUGCUUAUGAGGUGCAGUCCCCCAGGGAUGCCACGACCUGCUGUGUCAGUCAGAGAAGAAAGAAGGAGAAGGAAAAACAAAUCAUUCCACAGCUGCUCAAGUUUGAAAAGUAAGGCUUUAGAAACUGAAUUUUCUUCAGCUACAAGAUGAGCACCAAUAUUUAAAUACGUCAGAUUUUCUGGCUGGAGUUGAAGGCUGGGAAGAUCUACAAGGAUUUCUGAGUUUCUUAGAUCUUUAGCUUAUCAUAGCAUUAAGAAAAACCUUUUUUAUUAUGAAAAAUUUCAAAAAUACAGGAACACAGGGAGAAUACAAUAAUGAACUGCCACACACAGUUCCCCAAAUGAUCAUUAACAUGUGCCUGUGCUUACUUUGUCUUUUCUGCCUUCGGGAGUAUAUUAAGGUGUAUGUAAUAUAUUUAAUAUUCAUUACAAACAUCAUGAAAUUUUGUCUCUAAAUACGUAAACAAUAAAGAACACUUUCUAAAGUAAUGCAACAGCAUCUAAACUCUAAGAUGUUGCUACAACUUGAAUGUUUGUGUCCCUCCAAAAUUCAUAGGUUGAAACCCAAUCACCAAGGAGCUGUUAUUAUAAGGUGGGCCCUCUGGGAGGUGAGGAGGCCCUAAGGAACCCACCUUUCAAUGAAUGAGAUUGGUGCCCAUAUAAAUGAGGCUCCAUAGAGCUGCCUGCCUCUUUUUCACCCUGCUGUCAUGUGAGGACACAGCAUCAUCUUAGAGGCAGAGAACAGAUCCUCAUCAGAUACUGAGCCUGCAAGCCUCUUGACCUUGGACUUCCCAGGCUUCAGAACCAUGAGCAAUGAAUUCGUGCUGUUUAUACAUUACAGCAGUCUCCGGUAUUUUGUUAUAGCAGCAGAAACAUACUAAGACAGAAACUGGUACCAAGCAGCGGAAUGUCACUAUAACAAAUACCUGAAAAUGUGGAAGCAGCUUUGGAACUGAGUAUUGGGUAGAGGCCAGAAGAGUUUUGAAGCCAAAAAAAAAAAAAAAUUCUGUAUUGCCAUGAAAGAGUGUUAGUGGUGAUUCUAGGGAGGGCCCAGAAGAAGAGAGCUGGAAAGAGAGACUCAGUCUUCUUAGAGAUUAUCUAGGUGGUCGCGGACAGAAUGUUGGUAGAAAUAUGAGGUCUGAUGAGGUCCCAGAUGAAAAUGAGAAACAAGAUAUGGAACCUCGGGGGAAAGACUGUCCUUGUAAUAAAGUGGCAAAGAGCUUGCUCGAAUUUUGUUUAUGUUGUAGCACUUUGUGGAAAGCAGAACUCAUGAGUAAUAAACUGGUUGGAAGAAAUAAGCUUGGUGGAAGAAGUCUCUAAGCCAAGUGCUGAGAGUGCCACAUGGCUUCUCUUGAUGGCUCAGUAAAAUGUAAGAAGAGACAAACUAAUGAUGGAAUUUAUAAUCAAAAGCGGAGCAACACUUAAAACUUGGGAAAAUUCUCAGCCUGCCUAUGUUAAGAAUGAACAGGUGGGUUCGGGAGGGAAAACUGAGUGUGGCCAAGUGACACCCUUGAUAUUAAUUUCUCUAGUAGGUAGAUUAGUAUGGAGAGAGAAAAGCUAGAUGCGAUUUAUCAAGACAAUGGAAAAAUGACCGUAAACGUGUUUGAGUUGCCAUGCCCAUCACAGUCUCAGAGAGAGAGCCAGGGCCUUCAAGGCAGGAUGGUUUCAAGGGGAGUCCCAGGGUGCCUGUGGGACCUCAGGGCUUGAUCGUCAGAGCUCCCCCCGGUUUCUGCUCCACUUAUUCACGCUCAGCAUGAAUGUUGUGUGGCCCAGACCCAGAUGUGUCUCCGGCCACAGCUCUGGAGGGCGCAGGCACCCAACGGCACUCGGGCCACAGCUCUGGAGGGCCCAGGCACUCAGCAGGUGCGCUGCACAAGUGGACUAAGAUAGAUGUUCGACAGCGCCUGUCUGGAUAUCUACACAAUAACUACCAGGUGAGAGAUGCAAAUACUGGCUCCAGGGACCCAGGCUGAGCCCCCUGAAUCAGGAUUCCUGUCAUGAUACCUGGAAUAUGCAUUUUAACAGCCCCACCGUAAAUCUGAUGUGCCAUCCAGUUUAAGAACCCUGGCUGGGUGCGGUGGGUGGCUCAUGCCUGUAAUCCCAGCACUUUGGGAGGC